UACAGAGGGUGCGAGCGUUGUUCGGAAUUAUUGGGCGUAAAGAGCGUGUAGGCGGCCAGAUAGGUCCGUUGUGAAAACUCGAGGCUCAACCUCGAGACGCCGAUGGAAACCAUUUGGCUAGAGUCCGGAAGAGGAGAGUGGAAUUCCCGGUGUAGCGGUGAAAUGCGCAGAUAUCGGGAAGAACACCCGUGGCUAAGGCGGCUCUCUAGUACGGUACUGACGCUGAGACGCGAAAGCGUGGGGAGCGAACAGG
rnacentral:rRNA from 1 species